rnacentral:rRNA from 1 species
GAUGAAUGCUGGCGGCGUGCCUAACACAUGCAAGUCGAGCGGUAACAGGUCUAGUUUACUAGAUGCUGACGAGCGGCGGACGGCUGAGCAACGCGUAGGAACGUGCCCCAAAGUGAGGAAUAACUGCCCGAAAGGGUAGCUAAUGCCGCAUAUGAUCUUCGGAUUAAAGUCUUCGGACGCUUUGGGAGCGGCCUGCGUUAGAUUAGGUAGUUGGUAGGGUAAUGGCCUACCAAGCCGACGAUCUAUAGCUGGUCUGAGAGGAUGAUCAGCCAGACUGGGACUGAGACACGGCCCAGACUCCUACGGGAGGCAGCAGUGAGGAAUCUUCCACAAUGGGCGAAAGCCUGAUGGAGCAACGCCGCGUGCAGGAUGAAGGCCUUCGGUCGUAACUGCUUUAUAAGUGAAGAAUAUGACGGUAAC